rnacentral:rRNA from 1 species
CCGCAAGGUUAAAACUCAAAGAAAUUGACGGGGGCCCGCACAAGCGGUGGAGCAUGUGGUUUAAUUCGAUGCAACGCGAAAAACCUUACCUACCCUUGACAUCCUCGGAACUUGUCAGAGAUGAUUUGGUGCCUUCGGGAAUCGAGUGACAGGUGCUGCAUGGCUGUCGUCAGCUCGUGUCGUGAGAUGUUGGGUUAAGUCCCGUAACGAGCGCAACCCUCGUCCUUAGUUGCCAGCGAGUCAAGUCGGGAACUCUAAGGAGACUGCCGGUGAUAAACCGGAGGAAGGUGGGGAUGAUGUCAAGUCAUCAUGGCCCUUACGGGUAGGGCUACACACGUGCUACAAUGGGCAGUACAAAGGGUUGCCAAGCCGCGAGGUGGAGCUAAUCCCAGAAAACUGCUCGU